GUUAAGAAGCUCGUAGUUGGAUUUCUGUUGAGGUCGGCCGGUGUGCAUUACGUGUAUUAUCAGGUUUGGUCUUGGCAUCCUCUGAGGCACGAGGGACUUCAUUGGCUCUCGAGUUUUCAGACUUUUACUUUGAGGAAAUUAGAGUGUUCACGGCAAGCAAGCGCUUUGAAUACAUUAGCAUGGAAUAAUAAUAUAGGACCUUCGUUCUAUUUUUGUUGGUUUUCUAGAACUUGGGGUAAUGAUUAAUAGGGGACAAUUGGGGGGCAUUCGUAUUAACGCGUCAGAGGUGAAAUUCUUAGAUUGCGUUACGGCGAACUACUGCGAAAGCAUUUGCCAAAGAUGUUUUCAUUGAUCAAGAACGAAAGUAUGGGGAUCGAAGAUGAUUAGAUACCGUCGUAGUCUAUACCAUAAACUAUGCCAACUAGGGAUUGGACAGGUACAUUUAUCGACCUGUUCAGCACCUUAUGAGAAAUCAAAGUUUUUGGGUUCCGGGGGGAGUAUGGUCGCAAGGCUGAAACUUAAAAGGAAUUGACGGAAGGGCACCACCAGGAGUGGAGCCUGCGGCUUAAUUUGACUCAACACGGGAAAACUUACCAGGUCCAGACAUAGUAAGGAUUGACAGAUUGAAAGCUCUUUCU
rnacentral:rRNA from 1 species